UACGUAGGUGGCAAGCGUUAAUCGGAAUUACUGGGCGUAAAGGGCGCGUAGGCGGCCUUCUAAGUCGAACGUGAAAUCCCCGGGCUCAACCCGGGAACUGCGUCCGAUACUGGAAGGCUUGAAUCCGGGAGAGGGAUGUGGAAUUCCAGGUGUAGCGGUGAAAUGCGUAGAUAUCUGGAGGAACACCGGUGGCGAAGGCGACAUCCUGGACCGGUAUUGACGCUGAGGCGCGAAAGCCAGGGGAGCAAACGGG
rnacentral:rRNA from 1 species